GACGAGCGCUGGCGGCGUGCUUAACACAUGCAAGUCGAACGGAAAGGCCCUGCUUUUGUGGGGUGCUCGAGUGGCGAACGGGUGAGUAACACGUGAGUAACCUGCCCUUGACUUUGGGAUAACUUCAGGAAACUGGGGCUAAUACCGGAUAGGAUCUCCUGCUGCAUGGUGGGGGUUGGAACGUUUCGGCGGUGGGGGAUGGACUCGCGGCUUAUCAGCUUGUUGGUUGGGUAGUGGCUUACCAAGGGUUUGACGGGUAGCCGGCCUGGGAGGGUGACCGGCCACAUUGGGACUGCGAUACGGCCCAGUCUCCUACGGGAGGCAGCAGUGGGGAAUAUGGCACAGUGAGCGGAAGCCUGAUGCAGCAACGCCGCGUGCGGGAUGACGGCCUUCGGGUUGUAAACCGCUUUCGCCUGUGACGAAGCGUGAGUGACGGUAAUGGGUAAAGAAGCACCGGCUAACUACGUG
rnacentral:rRNA from 1 species